rnacentral:rRNA from 1 species
GGUGGGAAAGCACUGCAGUCGACGGCAGCACAGUAAGAGCUUGCUCUUAUGGGUGGCGAGUGGCGGACGGGUGAGGAAUACAUCGGAAUCUACCUUUUCGUGGGGGAUAACGUAGGGAAACUUACGCUAAUACCGCAUACGACCUUCGGGUGAAAGCAGGGGACCUUCGGGCCUUGCGCGGAUAGAUGAGCCGAUGUCGGAUUAGCUAGUUGGCGGGGUAAAGGCCCACCAAGGCGACGAUCCGUAGCUGGUCUGAGAGGAUGAUCAGCCACACUGGAACUGAGACACGGUCCAGACUCCUACGGGAGGCAGCAGUGGGGAAUAUUGGACAAUGGGCGCAAGCCUGAUCCAGCCAUACCGCGUGGGUGAAGAAGGCCUUCGGGUUGUAAAGCCCUUUUGUUGGGAAAGAAAAGCAAUCGGCUAAUACCCGGUUGUUCUGACGGUACCCAAAGAAUAAGCACCGGCUAACUUCGUGCCAGCAGCCGCGGUAAUACGAAGGGUGCAAGCGUUACUCGGAAUUACUGGGCGUAAAGCGUGCGUAGGUGGUUGUUUAAGUCUGUUGUGAAAGCCCUGGGCUCAACCUGGGAAUUGCAGUGGAUACUGGGCGACUAGAGUGUGGUAGAGGGUAGUGGAAUUCCCGGUGUAGCAGUGAAAUGCGUAGAGAUCGGGAGGAACAUCCAUGGCGAAGGCAGCUACCUGGACCAACACUGACACUGAGGCACGAAAGCGUGGGGAGCAAACAGGAUUAGAUACCCUGGUAGUCCACGCCCUAAACGAUGCGAACUGGAUGUUGGGUGCAAUUUGGCACGCAGUAUCGAAGCUAACGCGUUAAGUUCGCCGCCUGGGGAGUACGGUCGCAAGACUGAAACUCAAAGGAAUUGACGGGGGCCCGCACAAGCGGUGGAGUAUGUGGUUUAAUUCGAUGCAACGCGAAAACCUUACCUGGUCUUGACAUGUCAAGACUUUCCAGAGAUGGAUUGGUGCUUCGGGAACUCGAACCAGGUGCUGCAUGGCUGCGCAGCUCGGGCCGGA